CAAUGGUUUCUGUGUCAGCACGCCCACACCAGGCCACAACAAUGGCCACCGCCAAUGUCCCAGUCCCUGGAGAGAUCUCACCUCUCACCGAGAUGCACUCAGGGCCUAUUAGGAAAAGGCUGGAUUGACAGCUUUUGAUUUUAUUUUCCUCAAACAGAAGAUAAGAGGCAAGAUAUAAACAAGGAUCCCCUUUUAAUGUUCUGCAAUUCUUGACCUCCUUCUAUUUCAGAGGCGAUGGAGAAGGGUCAGCCAAGGUGCUUUGUGAGCUUCUGGGAAAAAAGAAACGGAAGGCUGGCCAGGGCCCUGGUGUGGAUUCUUAACAGCUGGUGAAUGUGCCUGGAGGUGCUUUCUGUCCCCCUGCACUGCUGGAGCCCAGAGAAUAGCAAAGGGGAUCCCUUGGGAAAGAGUUGAACAGUUUCGCUUUUUAUGUAGCAUUUUGUGUCAUUAAAAGUUUGGAUAAUUUUCACUUGGUGUUCACAAUAAAGUGCUCUCAAU